GAUGAAGAACGUAGCGAAAUGCGAUAAGUAAUGUGAAUUGCAGAAUUCAGUGAAUCAUCGAAUCUUUGAACGCAUCUUGCGCUCCUUGGUAUUCUGAGGAGCAUGCCUGUUUGAGUGUCAUUAAAUUCUCAACUACACUGACUUUGAAUUGGUGUGGCUUGGAUUUGGGGGGAAAAUUGUUGUGGGCUUUUUGUAUAGUCUGCUCCCCUGAAAUUGAUUAGCGGUACCUUUGUGGAACUGUCUACAGGUGUGAUAAUUAUCUACAUCUUAGACAUCUCUGGAAUGCUGCUUUCUAAACCUUACUUGUAUUGACAAUCUUGACCUCAAAUCAGGUAGGACUACCCGCUGAACUUAAGCAUAUCAAUAAGCGGAGGA
rnacentral:misc_RNA from 1 species